rnacentral:rRNA from 1 species
UACAGAGGUCCCGAGCGUUGUUCGGAUUCACUGGGCGUAAAGGGUGCGCAGGCGGCCGAGUGUGUGAGGCGUGAAAGCCCGGGGCUUAACCCCGGAAUUGCACCUCAAACUACACGGCUAGAGCAUUGGAGAGGGUAGCAGAAUUCAUGGUGUAGCAGUGAAAUGCGUAGAUAUCAUGAGGAAUACCAGAGGCGAAGGCGGCUACCUGGACAAUUGCUGACGCUCAGGCACGAAAGCGUGGGGAGCAAAAGGG